GUCCUAUUAAUAACUAACGGGAGAGGGUUGGAAUGGAACGUCCCCGUUUCGUCCCCUACGCGAACCCAACGUUUUGGUUUGGGGGGAGAAGUAUCCAAAGAUUAAACUUAAGAGAUGACGGAAGGCCCCACCACGAAUUGAGCCUUGCUUAUUUGGGUGACCCCCCCAACCUUCCCAGUCCGGCCUAUGAGGUGACAGAUAUUACGUCUUUUGAAUCCAAUGGGGGUGGUGCUUUCCCUCCUCUUUCCCCCCUCCGGGCCUGUUAUUCCGAUAACGAACGAGACCUUAACCCUGCUAACUAGAAAUUUUCAUUUUAUGAAAUAUAUCUUCUUAGAGGGGACUAUAUGCUUUAAGUAUUAGGAAGUUGAGGCAAUAGGCAGGUCUGUGAAACCCUUAUAUUUCCUGGGCUGCACGCGUGCUACACUGAUAUAUACAACAAAGUGCCUAGCUAGAUAUAGUAUGGCAAUCUCGAAUAUAUAUCGUGAUGGGGAUAGAUCUUUGCAAUUAUAGAUCCUCAACGAGGAAUUCAUAGUAAGUGCAAGUCAUCAUCUGCAUUGAUUAUGUCCCUGUCUUUUGUCACCCCCGUGCUCCUACCGAUACCCCGUGAUCCGGUGAACCUGUGGACCCUUUGGGAAAAAUAAUACUCAUUCUCCUUGACAAAUGACAGGACUC
rnacentral:rRNA from 1 species